GACUUACUCCCGAAUCUUUUGAGUUCCACUACUCUCAAUAACUACACCGCAAUGUUGAGAUGCACACAUGGUCUGUACACAAAUAAAUACAACAUCACUUGGAUGUGACACUUACAUUACAACGCAUCGGAGUGGUUGCCUCUAAAAAUCUCCCGCCACCUAAGGGCCAGUUCUUUUGUAAGCUUCUCUCACCUUAUUGUGAAAAUAAGCCAAGAACCCAAAAGAACUCGUUUGAGGGUCUUGGGCUUAGCUUAUUUUCACAGAAGCCUCCUUCACAAUGAAAAUAAGCUCGGAGUGGAGCUCCUUCCCGCAGAAGCCCAAUUAAGAUGAAAGGGUAUAUCUUAUUGCCAUUGUUGCUUCCACAAUUUACAGAAAAAAUGCCACCGCCCCAGCCCCGAGGCCAGAUCCCCCGAUCCCCUCGUCCUCUCUCUCGCUCGCUCGUCUGACUCGCCUCGCUAGGGUUCCUUCCACACAGCCGCCGUCGCGGCGCCGCCGGUCUCCGUCAAUUCAGCCCGUCCCUUCGGCGCCGCCAAGAUGGAUGGCAGGUAGGCCACUCUCCGUCGCUGCACCUCCCUCUCGCGCCUCACUACGCAGCAGAUCUUCCCCAUCCGCCUCCAGCCUUUCCGUUUGCUUCGGUCGAUGCCCCACUCCGGCAGCCGCAUCCAGCACCACCUGCGGACCAGGACGACCUCCAUCUUAUCCCCCGCUGGUUCAUGCUCAAACCUGCACUCCCUCCCUCUCCUUCCUCCCAUCUUCCUGAUCUGCUGGGAUAUGCUUCGAUUUAGAUGAGCCAUUUCGUAGCCCAAGGGUAUUAUAGACUAUUCACCGGAAGUAUGAGAAAAUAAGCCAAACGAGGGAGUCUAAAAAGAACUGGACGACUUAUUCUCAUGGACUUAUUUUCAUGGCAGCUUAUGUGAGGCUUAUUCCCAUCCCAGCUUAUGCAUAAGCUGCAGUCCAAAAGAACUGGCCCUAAGAUGACUUUGCUAAAAGUGCAUUGGGAGUUAUCUAAGGUGAUCAUCUCAGCGCGACAUGACCAAUACACGGAUUAACUGCAUCCUCAUGAAAAAUUGAUUCGUGAGAAUAACCACCCACUUCACAAUGCCAAAAUUAUCCUUUAGUGGCCGUGAUUAGAGUUCUGAUCACUCGUCUCCUUGCUACCAUGUGCGUGAAAAUAGCCAACCACCAUGUUCAUCCCGCUCAUGCAUUGGUGGAAGGUUGUUGUUGUGGAUUGUGGAAAUCAUAUUCCUUUGUUCCAGAGCAAAACAAGGGUUUAAUGUGUCGGUGACUAGUGCGACAUCAUGGCUUGAUAG
rnacentral:lncRNA from 1 species